AAAAAUGUUUUGAAAUUCGGAUUCGUUUUUUUGAAUGCAGCAGUAGCACAAAGAUGAUUCAUGAAGAAUAAAAACUAUAUUUUCUUACAUGCCAUCAAAUAGAAAUAAUCUAAAAAAAAGUUAUAACUUAC
rnacentral:ribozyme from 12 species